rnacentral:rRNA from 1 species
AACGCGAAGAACCUUACCUGGUCUUGACAUCCACGGAAGUUUUCAGAGAUGAGAAUGUACCUUCGGGAACCGUGAGACAGGUGCUGCAUGGCUGUCGUCAGCUCGUGUUGUGAAAUGUUGGGUUAAGUCCCGCAACGAGCGCAACCCUUAUCCUUUGUUGCCAGCGGUCCGGCCGGGAACUCAAAGGAGACUGCCAGUGAUAAACUGGAGGAAGGUGGGGAUGACGUCAAGUCAUCAUGGCCCUUACGACCAGGGCUACACACGUGCUACAAUGGCGCAUACAAAGAGAAGCGACCUCGCGAGAGCAAGCGGACCUCAUAAUGUGCGUCGUAGUCCGGAUUGGAGUCUGCAACUCGACUCCAUGAAGUCGGAAUCGCUAGUAAUCGUGGAUCAGAAUGCCACGGUGAAUACGUUCCCGGGCCUUGUACACACCG